rnacentral:rRNA from 1 species
ACAGAGGGGGCAAGCGUUAUUCGGAAUUAUUGGGCGUAAAGGGCGCGUAGGCGGUUUUUUAAGUCAGAUGUGUAAUCCCCGAGCUUAACUUGGGAACUGCAUCUGAGACUGGAAGGCUAGAGUACUGGAGAGGGUGGUGGAAUUCCUCGUGUAGCGGUGAAAUGCGUAGAGAUGAGGAGGAACACCAGUGGCGAAGGCGGCCACCUGGACAGUAACUGACGCUGAGGCGCGAAAGUGUGGGUAGCAAACAGGAUUAGAUACCCUGGUAGUCCACGCUGUAAACGAUGAACACUUGGUGUGGAGGGAGUUGACCCCUUCCGUGCCGGAGCUAACGCGUUAAGUGUUCCGCCUGGGGAGUACGGUCGCAAGGCUG